UGGGGAAUUUUGCACAAUGGGGGAAACCCUGAUGCAGCGACGCCGCGUGGAGGAAGAAGGCCUUCGGGUUGUAAACUCCUUUUACAGGGGACAAUAGUGAUGGUACCCUGUGAAUAAGCCACGGCUAACUCUGUGCCAGCAGCCGCGGUAAGACAGAGGUGGCGAGCGUUGUUCGGAAUUACUGGGCUUAAAGGGCGCGUAGGCGGUGGCAUAAGUCUGAGGUGGAAUUCUACAGCUUAACUGUAGGACUGCCUUGGAAACUGUGUUACUUGAGUCGGACAGGGGAAGGCGGAAUUCCAGGUGUAGCGGUGAAAUGCGUAGAUAUCUGGAGGAAGGCCUGUGGUGAAGACGGCCUUCUGGGUCUUGACUGACGCUGAGGCGCGAAAGCGUGGGGAGCAAA
rnacentral:rRNA from 1 species